rnacentral:lncRNA from 1 species
UUUAAUGUCAAAAUUAAAAAGGAAUAAUGAUUAAUUAAGGAAUAAAAUAUCACAAAGUAAACUUCAAAGGUGAAUUUCAACCUGUGAGUGAUGUGAAUGAUUCCUUUGAAGGUCCUGGCUGUUUCUGCUCUCAGUCAUCCUUGGGGAAAAAGGUGAGUUUUGAAUUUGGAGAACGAAACUGCCAUUUUCACUAUCUGGACCAGAGGAUUUAGGAUAUAAUUACUAUGGGAUAAAGUGGCCUAGUGAGUCUGAUCAAUGGUAGUGGAAAGAAAAGUACAAGAUGAAUUGAUCAUGUUGUUAUAUGGAGUUAUUUGAGAGCGAGGUAGGGACUCUAAAGUUGGCUCUAGGGUUUGUGAACACUAAGGAGCCAACAGCAGAGAAAGAGUGACUUAUU